UGAGAGCCAUGGAAAGGUAGAGAGAGGUUUCCACCAUUAAUAGAAAUCUUGGAUUAACAGUCUUUGGAAACAGCUUGCAUAAAAAGAAUGAAGGGUUGUGUGUAUCUCCAGAAGGUGCCCCCACAACAUCCUGCUGGCUCCCUUUGGUGAGUGUAAAACGGCAUGCAGCAGGGAGCUAUACAGAGAAAGUAUAGUAAAUUGAGAGGAGUAAGCAUGCCGGUAUGGAUUACAAGGGAAGCGUGCAAAAACUGUAGGACCCAUGUAAGAAUUGAGUAAAACCCAUUUUUCCCUCAACUACACAACAGAAGUCAUGAAGGAACACCAGUUUCCGAUGGACCACAUUAUGAUACAAAACUGUAUGACUCUGUAUGGGAACUGUUGAACCACGGCCUGAACCUCUGAUUGAUCACCUGAGGCAAGCACUGAGUCAGCUGCAGGAGCACAGGUGAAGGCAAUUCAGCUGUGUGGCCGGAAGGGCUGAAGCCUGGCUGCACCUCUCCUAGACCCCAUUUAAGGGCUGACUGCCACCGAAGAAGGAUCUCUUUCCAGAGAUUGCUCCUCUUUGAGUUUCUCCUGCAGUCCUACAACACGGAUCCUGAACUCCUAGAGGCAGAUUCACAAUGACUUGACUGAAUACAUGUGUCUGAUUCAUCUGAUUCUGACCCAGUGCUCACCUACCCCACUACUGCUGUAUCACAGUACAAGAAAUCUCAAUGUUACAUGAUGCAGCAAAGGCCCUGUAGGAGGAUUACUUAAGCAUAUUGAUUCAGUUUCCUGGAAGAGUGAUGCAUUGAUAUUGUGAAUUAACCUGCUAGAAUUCUCACAGUCCUCCUUUCAGACCUCAGUUCACAUCAGGCUGGGUAGAUUUCUGCGCAGUUCCCAGCUGAGUCACCAGAGAGGGGCCCGCCUUCAUCAUGGAUCAAUUUGAUUUCAAGCCCUGACAAAUACCCAGCUUCAAGACGGGGGACAAACUGUAAUGUGCUUUAUGAGAACACAAGGAAAUGAUGAAAAGUUCAAGAGUGACAGCUUGAAGUUCUGUAUGCAUACAAAAAGGACAACGUGAAUAAUGUCAGCAUGCACUUCCCCUUCCCUUCAGGAGCUCCAGAAUAUUUUAGAUGUGUAAAAAGAAUGUACUACUGUGACCUGACAUUACAAGUAUUUGAGGGGCAAAACCACAGCACUUCUAUAUUGACAGAUCACAUACUCUUAAUGCUGAGAUAUAUUUAUCUAUCUAGUACUCUAAGAUGCUGAAGGGGUAGGAUGUGCUUGAGAUAAAAAUAUGUUGGUACUGUUGAAUCAUACCAAAAACUUAACUUAAAAGACCUUCCUCUGACAAAAGCAACAACAACAAAACUGAAACAUAAAAUAUGCUAGACCUUCUUAUUUAAAUAGUAUUUGAAUUGAGCCAUUCUGACUACAAAGGCUUGAAGCCUGGAUACAGCCCUGAACUAAUUUCCUGCCUUUUGCUUUUGUUUGUCAGUUAACGUCAUACAGAUCAUGUCAUAUAAAUGAAGCUGAACACUGUUUAGGUCUUAGUGUUAGCAAACAAGAAAUCAUGAUUUGAUUCUUGCAUUCUGUGCCUCUGUCCUUGAGCCAACUCUGUGUGCUUUGUGCUUGCUACAGCACUGCACGUAUAACUGAUUGUUGGUAAUACUGAAAAUGACAUGCAUAUUGAAAUGCUUGCAAGACUGAAGUUUUUAACAUAAAAUAAAUGAGUACUUUGCUUUUGGGUUUCUUUGUUUGUUUUGUUUUGUUUUUUUGGCUGAAGAGUUGAGAGCAUUUUAUCUUAGGCCAACUGGAAAGUUACCUUUCAUUUCCUUCUCCCCCCCAAUAUUGUUUGUUUAAAGUGUUUUUACUUUUUUAUACAAGUCAAAUUAAAUUUAGAGAUAAAGAGCUGUUUUAAACUGAAAAUCAGAAUAUUUCAUACUGGAAGUGCUUAAAUCAUUAGAAGACCAAAAGAGUAAUCUUCUAGAAAUUCACAAAACAAUCCUUCUGUGUAAUUUUGGAGGGUAGAAGAUAUUAUUAAGAAUAUAUAUUUUUUCUAAUAUUAGAUGUUUUAAUAUUAUAAAAUCAUGGAAUGGUUGGGUUGGAAGGGACCUCAAAGCCCACCCAUUCCUACCCUGUGCUGUGGGCAGGGCUACCACCCACCAGUUUGGGCUGCCCAGGGCCCCAUCCAACCUGGCCUUGAACCUCCAGGGAUGAGGCUCAUUCUCAGCACCUCACUGCCCACUGAGAAAAGAAUUUUUUUCAACAUCUACCCUAGAUUUCCCCUCUUUUAGUUUAAAGCCAUUCCUCCUUGUUCUGUUGCUAUCAGACCACUUAAAAAGUUGGCCCCCCUCCUGCACAAUAUUAUCAGUAACAUGGUCAGUAACUUUUUACCCAUUUCCAGUUGUAACAUCUGCUCUAUGCUGAGAGACGUACAUUCAACCUGACCAACCUGGCUGCUUGUUCUUCAAAACCAAUGCUAGCGAGGAGUUACAGCGUUUUCUAUUUCUGCAUUUGAGCAUGGAGGAUGGAAAAAGUACCAAGCUCUGAGCUAUGCUCAAUGAAACAGAAUCCCGUCCAGAUCCUCAGUCUGAUACAAAGUCAAGAAAAGUGGCUUCAGGAAACUAGGGACUGUGAAUAUCACUGAUUUAAGAACUGGAUAAUUUAUAAAUCUAUUUAAUCUCCAGCCAACGAUUCUUUCCCUGCUAACAGCUUGCAAAGCAGAGUUAACCUUUUAGGCUAUUAUUUCAAG
ensembl:lncRNA